ACCUGCCCGAGUUCUCUCGAGAUCUUUGGUUUCCUCCCACACUCCAAAGACGUACAGAGUUUCUCCAAGUGGUGAGAAGUUUGAAUUGCUGCCAUCUUUUCAUGCCGAUCUUCCCACAGAAAAAUUGAAAUACAUCUUGUACGGAUAUAUCGAGGAUAAACUUACCAGCAGUCCCCAUUUCGAUCGGUUGCUGUUGCAAGCACGUAUUUUUACUAUACUGAUUCUCUGGCAACGUGAUAGUCUUCCAUCCUCAUUAACAAUUCUGAACUCCAUUCAAAAGCUUGUAGCAUCGU